AGCUUCCUGUAUCCGUGCUGAGAUUUCGUCUGUCACCAGGCCACCAGCACUGAUGAGACUCCACAGAUACGUGAAGCG
rnacentral:pre_miRNA from 1 species